UACAGAGGUCUCAAGCGUUGUUCGGAUUCAUUGGGCGUAAAGGGUGCGUAGGCGGCGCGGUAAGUCGUGUGUGAAAUCUCGGGGCUUAACUCCGAAACUGCAUUCGAUACUGCCGUGCUUGAGGACUGGAGAGGAGACUGGAAUUUACGGUUUAGCGGUGAAAUGCGUAGAUAUCGUAAGGAAGACCAGUGGCGAAGGCGGGUCUCUGGACAGUUCCUGACGCUGAGGCACGAAGGCCAGGGGAGCAAACGGG
rnacentral:rRNA from 1 species